UGGGGAAUUUUGGACAAUGGGGGCAACCCUGAUCCAGCAAUGCCGCGUGUGUGAAGAAGGCCUGCGGGUUGUAAAGCACUUUUGUCCGGGAAGAAAUCGCACCUGAUAAUACCGGGUGUGGAUGACGGUACCGGAAGAAUAAGGACCGGCUAACUACGUGCCAGCAGCCGCGGUAAUACGUAGGGUCCAAGCGUUAAUCGGAAUUACUGGGCGUAAAGCGUGCGCAGGCGGUUGUGCAAGACCGAUGUGAAAUCCCCGGGCUUAACCUGGGAAUUGCAUUGGUGACUGCACGGCUAGAGUGUAUCAGAGGGGGGUAGAAUUCCACGUGUAGCAGUGAAAUGCGUAGAGAUGUGGAGGAAUACCGAUGGCGAAGGCAGCCCCCUGGGAUAACACUGACGCUCAUGCACGAAAGCGUGGGGAGCAAACAGG
rnacentral:rRNA from 1 species